CCUACGGGGGGCAGCAGUGGGGAAUAUUGGACAAUGGGGGGAACCCUGAUCCAGCCAUGCCGCGUGUGUGAAGAAGGCCCUCGGGUUGUAAAGCACUUUCAGUGAGGAAGAACGCCUGGUGGUUAAUACCCAUCAGGAAAGACAUCACUCACAGAAGAAGCACCGGCUAACUCCGUGCCAGCAGCCGCGGUAAUACGGAGGGUGCGAGCGUUAAUCGGAAUUACUGGGCGUAAAGCGCGCGUAGGUGGCUUGAUAAGCCGGUUGUGAAAGCCCCGGGCUCAACCUGGGAACGGCAUCCGGAACUGUCAAGCUAGAGUGCAGGAGAGGAAGGUAGAAUUCCCGGUGUAGCGGUGAAAUGCGUAGAGAUCGGGAGGAAUACCAGUGGCGAAGGCGGCCUUCUGGACUGACACUGACACUGAGGUGCGAAAGCGUGGGUAGCAAACAGGAUUAGAUACCUGUGUAGUC
rnacentral:rRNA from 1 species